UUUCCGUAGGUGAACCUGCGGAAGGAUCAUUAUUGGAUUUUGAAACUUCAGGCUGCUGCUGGCUCUCCUCGGAGGGCGUGUGCACGCUUGUUGUCCAUUAUUUCUCCCACUGUGCACAAAUUGUAGACCUUUCAGUAGGCCUAUGUUGUUUUUCACAAUCUCUGAAUGUAAUAGAAUGGUUUUGAAUCUCGGGAAAUACAAUACAACUUUCAGCAACGGAUCUCUUGGCUCUC
rnacentral:misc_RNA from 1 species